rnacentral:rRNA from 1 species
AGAGUUUGAUCCUGGCUUAGGACGAACGCUGGCGGCGUGCUUAACACAUGCAAGUCGAGCGGAGAAUAUAGCAAUAUAUUCUUAGCGGCGGACGGGUGAGUAACGCGUGGGCAAUCUGCCUCAUACAGGGGGAUAACACUGGGAAACUAGUGCUAAUACCGCAUAAAAUAGUGAAGUGGCAUCACUUUACUAUCAAAGGAGCAAUCCGGUGUGAGAUGAGCCCGCGUCCGAUUAGCUAGUUGGAGGGUAACGGCCCACCAAGGCGACGAUCGGUAGCCGAACUGAGAGGUUGAUCGGCCACAUUGGGACUGAGACACGGCCCAGACUCCUACGGGAGGCAGCAGGUGGGGAAUAUUGCGCAAAGUGGGGGAAACCCUGACGCAGCAACGCCGCGUGAAGGAUGUAAGGUUUUCGGAUUAGUAAACUUCUUUGAGUUGGGGACGAUAAUGACGGUAACCCAAAAAACAAGCCACGGCUAACUACGUGCCAGCAGCCGC